AUUGAACGCUGGCGGCAGGCCUAACACAUGCAAGUCGAACGAGUGGCGGACGGGUGAGUAAUGUCUGGGAAACUGCCCGAUGGAGGGGGAUAACUACUGGAAACGGUAGCUAAUACCGCAUACCAUCGGUUGUUCCCAGAUGGGAUUAGCUAUUAGGUGGGGUAACGGCUCACCGAGGCGACGAUCUCUAGCUGGUCUUAGAGGAUGACCAGCCAAAGUGGAACUGAGACACGUUCAAGACGCCUACGGGAGGGAGCAGUGGGGAAUAUUGCACAAUGGGCGCAAGCCUGAUGCAGCCAUGCCGCGUGUAUGAAGAAGGCCUUCAGGUUGUAAAGUACUUUCAGCGGGGAGGCGUUACCCGCAGAAGAAGCACCGGCUAACUCCGUGCCAGCAGCCGCGGUAAUUC
rnacentral:rRNA from 1 species